GUUUUCUGGAGGAAAAAAAAAAAAAGAAAAUAGGUCAUUUACACAGUUACACAUUUUUAUAAUUAAUUGAAACUUAGGUGGGUUUCCUAUUUGUUUGUGGAUUUUUAAUUUAUUUUUUGGUUUCUCAAGCCAAAUUACCAGCCCUAUGAGUGCUAUAAACUGUCCAGCGCAGGAGUUCGCCUUACGGAGGAAAAAGCGCUGCAGAGCCCUCGAGAGGUGAACGUGGCCCAGAAACGAGCCGGUCCCAGAGCAUGAAGCGCUUUCCAACCCAGCAUUUGGGGCUGGGCGCUCAGCCGGGUGAGCAGAGCCUGCAAAUACUCAGAUUUGGAUUUUCUUCCUUUAUGGCAUUUGCUUUUUAAUGGAAAUUCUGUUUUCCUUCUUUUGUUUUCCUUCUUUUUUUUUCCAGAAGGCAGCCCGUGUUGCAUUGCACGCCUCUGUGAGACAGGGCAGGGAACACGGCACCACAGCACACCGUUAUCACAGGCACAGAACCUUCCAGAACAGUGUGUUAAAACAAAAUUGCAUUAAAAACAGUAAUAGAAGUAAAUCAAUAUAUGUUCUUGGAAAACUAUUCUUUCCUUUAGAAACAACCACAUUUCUUUUAAAAUUAUUUUUCUUUAUUUAGGGAAACAAGUAGUAAGCCACUUAUUUCCUUCAUAAAAAUAUUCCUAGUUAUAGUACCUAUCAACUGUGAUUUUUCACAUUAGGUAAGCUUAAGCCAGAGAAUAAAUAAAUAUUAAAAUGCCCACAGAAACUAAAGCUAACAAGAAUCCAUAUUCUUAUUCAUUAUACAAUGAAUCAUGAAUUCACCCAGCUAAACACGCAAGUACUGAUCUUGGAGAUGAUAGCGAAAUGAUAAUAUUGAGAAGCAUUUUGUAUAAUGUUGACAUCUCCCCCAUUCCUGUUUUACAUAUGCCAAUACCAAACACUCAUAAGGAAAGAACAGGUAUUGACCUGCUAACUGACGCUGAUCCUUGGAGCAAUCUCAAAGUUUGCCACAUUUCAAUUUCAAAAUGCAUUUCAGCUAUAAUAUGAGUGAUUUAUCAUUUAGCAGUAGCUGUCAAAGUAACCUCCUAGAUAAAACAAAAACAUCUGGAACCAUAAACAGAGAAGAGCAGUAGCUGAAUUUUAAUCCAAAUCCGACAUGUUCACUUCAUUAGGAACAGGAAACAGCUAAUUAGUAAUUGAAUUUUUCAUGGUUUUAAGGAGGCUCAGACUCUCCAAACUGAGCUGAUUUAAUACAUAUUUUGGAUGCAAACAAGAAUAAAGAUCAGAAGAGCCAGGGACGUAACAUCUCUGGAGGAAAAUCUGGGGGCAUGGGAACCCCCAAAGAAGUGACUAAAAUUAGUUUCAGACCUUUGGCUGAUUAAAAUUAUUGUCUUAAACUUUGUGGGCCAAAUGUUCAAUCCUGAGGAGGGGGCCAGUAGAAACAGAAAUACUGAACACUGUGGUUCGCUUUUUCUAUUUCUCCAUCAGAUUAUUAGGAAGUUGUACGUGAUAUCUUCCUAUCACAGGCUGCAGGUGAUUUAGCCCAUAUUGACUUUGUACUUCUGGAAAAGGUGAGCCACUGACAGAAUGUGCAUGUCAGCACCACUGCCUUCAAAAAAUCAUAUACUUAGAUAGUGGCUGAUGGACACUAUGUAAACUUGGAGUCAUGUUUGGAUUUUUCCUUCCUAUUCCCCUUGUUUCUCAAGGAAAGUUCAAUGGAGGACUAUGGAAUACUUGCAGGAGAGAAAGUAAAUGUAAAAGCUCAAGCAGAGUGCAGCCACCCAGGAGAUACUAUUGACCAGUAAACAUAGUUAAAUAUUUCCUUUUUUAUAUAGCUCUCAAUUAUUCUCCAGAAAUUAAAAUACUUUUUUUGUUGCUAUGCAAUAAACUUAACUCCAUGGCAUUGACCCCAUCAUGCAGCAACUACCUGUGAGGAAUUAAAGCGUUAGGAGCAUCGGUACCACGACUUACACAUGAGAGACAACAUGAUGUUGUCAAAUUCAUCUUUUUGAGGAACAUUCAGCAUCUCCUCAGUGCAGCUGACGGAAAAAAGAAAAAAAGCAGAGAACAGCUUGCAUUACCUUCUACUGUGGAUGAAAUCCCUGAAGAAAAAAAACAAAACAAAACCAACUAAAAACUGAACUAAACUCCUUUGCAAACAGGGGUGCUGACCAGCCGGGAAGGAAGCUGCAGCCAGGCCCCUGCACCACAGCAAUCACAAAACCACAGACAAGGAUCCUUCACUGCCAUGGAAAAAAAGACCUGGGCUGCAGUCAGUUCUUGGGGUUUUGGGUUUAGUCAUCCAACUGAAUGACCACAGUGAAUAAAACUACUUCUUUGCCUGUUUA